CCCAGCGGCCAUAGAGUCAGCUGAAGAAUAAACGUAUUGGCCCUACUAGGUAAAGCAACUAAAUCGGGUAUUGGGUAAUUACCCGACCCAACUUGAUCCGAAUAGAAAACAGUUCAGAAGCUCAUCAUUCCUACUCGUUUAAAAACGGUUCGGGUAAUUUUGGGUCAGUAUAAUCAGAUAUUCGGGUCGGGUCAGUUAUUUCGGCUUAAUUGUCCAGCCCUAGGAAACAGUACAUGCUGCACAGUUGUUAAGAACUUUAAGCUCUUGCCUUUUUUUUUUUUAAUUUUUAAUGGCACAGGUGUUGCAGUGAUUGUCUCUCUUGUCAUUCUCUCUAUUCGUGAACGAGGAAAAGCAUGGUGAAUUUCACAGCAAAUUCGGCCAGUUGACGGGUCGUUCUCUCUAUUUCUCAACGCUUCUCUCUCUCUCUCGUCUUUUUUCUUUUUUGAAAGACUCUCUCUCACGCCUUGAAUCCAUCCAUUAAAGAUGGACUUUCGCACUCAUUCUCUCUCUUUCGCUUUUUGUUGUGCAACAAACUUUUCCCGAAAAUCAAAUUAUCUGCACGCUUUGUUGCGACUGAUAUUUUGGGUGUUCAAGUAUCAUUGACCUUUUUCUUUCCCUCUAUAUCUUCCGGUAAUCCUAUGCUUUCCGGCUAAGAGUCUUGGAGUCCUGCUCUUUCAUGCUUCUUAUGGAGAAUCGAUUCUUGGGUUUCUAAUUUCUAUUGAUUCUUGGUCUCUAUUUGUGUGGAAUAGCCUUAGUCCAAUUCUGACGGGGGUUGUAUGUCUGCAAGGAAACUUCAAGCUGAGAUAUGUAAUGAUAAAUUUGGGGGAGAGAUUGACAGACGAAGAGGCUGAGCAGAUGAUUAAAGAGGCUGAUUUAGAUGGUGAUGGCCGUCAAGUCAGCUAUGAAGAGUUUGCAAGGAUGAUGAUGCUCAAUUGAUUUAAAACGUAAUAAAAAUAGAGGCAUGGCACCUUUAACAUUUUGAAUGCCCCCAUGCCUUUCCUUUCGUUAAUGCUAGCGCGUGAUUUCUAGCUAGGUUAGCAGGGCGAUAGAUGUACGUACGUACACAAAUUGUAAGUUUGAGAACAUAAUAAAGUACAGUUAAGGGUUGA